UACGUAGGGUGCAAGCGUUGUCCGGAAUUAUUGGGCGUAAAGAGCUCGUAGGCGGUCUGUUGCGUCGGCUGUGAAAACCCGGGGCUCAACUCCGGGCCUGCAGCCGAUACGGGCAGACUAGAGUUCGGCAGGGGAGACUGGAAUUCCUGGUGUAGCGGUGAAAUGCGCAGAUAUCAGGAGGAACACCGGUGGCGAAGGCGGUUCUCUGGGCCUGUGCUGACGCUGAGGAGCGAAAGCGUGGGGAGCGAACAGG
rnacentral:rRNA from 1 species